AGAGAAUUGAUUGAAGAUACGUUAACUGCAAAAAGGUUGGUGAUUGCUGCCAAUUGAAGAAAUGCUAAAUGCUUGAAUAUCAAAACAGUUUUCAGAAGCAGUUGACCUAAUCCACAAAUGAGUUAUUGCAGAGUAGUUUGAUUUUGUCCUGAGUAGUCCUGCGGAAGCCAUUGAGACCAUCCUAACCCAAAACAUUCUAUGACUCUCAUCGAUAUUCUAUGAUCCUGGAAGAUAAUCUCAUCAGG